AAAGAGGGUUUUUUAAAAACCACAAACAAUAAAGGAAAGAAUUAAU
rfam:Heterocephalus glaber contig85247, whole genome shotgun sequence.